rnacentral:rRNA from 1 species
ACUCGAGUGGCGAACGGGUGAGUAACACGUGGGUGAUCUGCCCUGCACUUCGGGAUAAGCUUGGGAAACUGGGUCUAAUACCGGAUAGGAGCCAUCCUUUAGUGUGGUGGUUGGAAAGUUUUUCGGUGUAGGAUGAGCUCGCGGCCUAUCAGCCUGUUGGUGGGGUAAUGGCCUACCAAGGCGGCGACGGGUAGCCGGCCUGAGAGGGUGUACGGCCACAUUGGGACUGAGAUACGGCCCAG